AUUGCACAACUUAAGUUUGUCGGGGAUCAUUUUUUUUAAACUGAAUCUUGCCCUUUUCUAAGUGUUUGAAACCUUCGAUGAAUGUGUCAAUGUGCAAAGAUAGACUGUUGUUCUCUGUUGAUAAGUGAUUUUGGUAUAUGCUUUGGAAAUUUUUUUCCCUUUCCUAUUGACUUUUGUUUUAAAAGUCGUUUGGAAAGUAUAGGCAUGAUUAAAAUUGCGACUAUUUUUUAAUUGCUUUUCGCUUUUGCAUGCAUAUUAUAUGCAUGCACUCCUCAUGUUUUAUCAGACCUUCGAGAUUGGUUUUUCCAUGUUUCUGUUUUUUCAUAUCAUUUCCCCUCCUUUUAAUAUGUCCUAUAUUAACACCAAUUGUUUUGUACGUGUUGCAUUUCCCAUCAUGAGUCAGUCUAGUCAGAGUUCUUCUUUCAAGUUUGGUUCGGUUGGGCUUGAGACACACAGCAUGGUUGGUGCGCGGGAGGGGAUGAUUGAGAAUAUACGGAAAUCGAAAGACCAUGGAAGCGAAGAUACCUGAGAUAGUUUUGCUGAAAAAGAAGCUACAAAAGCUUGAUUC
rnacentral:snoRNA from 19 species